rnacentral:rRNA from 1 species
GAUGAACGCUGGCGGCGUGCCUAAUACAUGCAAGUCGAGCGAACAGAUAAGGAGCUUGCUCCUUUGACGUUAGCGGCGGACGGGUGAGUAACACGUGGGUAACCUACCUAUAAGACUGGGAUAACUUCGGGAAACCGGAGCUAAUACCGGAUAACAUUUGGAACCGCAUGGUUCUAAAGUGAAAGAUGGUUUUGCUAUCACUUAUAGAUGGACCCGCGCCGUAUUAGCUAGUUGGUAAGGUAACGGCUUACCAAGGCGACGAUACGUAGCCGACCUGCGAGGGGGAUCGGCCACACUGGAACGGGGACACGGUCCAGACGCCUACGGGAGGCAGCAGUAGGGAAUCGUCCGCAAUGGGCGAAAGCCUGACGGAGCAACGCCGCGUGAGUGAUGAAGGGUUUCGGCUCGUAAAACUCUGUUAUUAGGGAAGAACAAACGUGUAAGUAACUGUGCACGUCUUGACGGUACCUAAUCAGAAAGCCACGGCUAACUACGUG